GAUGAACGCUUGCUACAGGCUUAACACAUGCAAGUCGAGGGGCAGCAUGGUCUUAGCUUGCUAAGGCCGAUGGCGACCGGCGCACGGGUGAGUAACACGUAUCCAACCUGCCGUCUACUCUUGGACAGCCUUCUGAAAGGAAGAUUAAUACAAGAUGGCAUCAUGAGUCCGCAUGUUCACAUGAUUAAAGGUAUUCCGGUAGACGAUGGGGAUGCGUUCCAUUAGAUAGUAGGCGGGGUAACGGCCCACCUAGUCUUCGAUGGAUAGGGGUUCUGAGAGGAAGGUCCCCCACAUUGGAACUGAGACACGGUCCAAACUCCUACGGGAGGCAGCAGUGAGGAAUAUUGGUCAAUGGGCGAGAGCCUGAACCAGCCAAGUAGCGUGAAGGAUGACUGCCCUAUGGGUUGUAAACUUCUUUUAUAAAGGAAUAAAGUCGGGUAUGGAUACCCGUUUGCAUGUACUUUAUGAAUAAGGAUCGGCUAACUCCGUGCCAGCAGCCGCGGUAAUACGGAGGAUCCGAGCGUUAUCCGGAUUUAUUGGGUUUAAAGGGAGCGUAGAUGGAUGUUUAAGUCAGUUGUGAAAGUUUGCGGCUCAACCGUAAAAUUGCAGUUGAUACUGGAUAUCUUGAGUGCAGUUGAGGCAGGCGGAAUUCGUGGUGUAGCGGUGAAAUGCUUAGAUAUCACGAAGAACUCCGAUUGCGAAGGCAGCCUGCUAAGCUGCAACUGACAUUGAGGCUCGAAAGUGUGGGUAUCAAACAGGAUUAGAUACCCUGGUAGUCCACACGGUAAACGAUGAAUACUCGCUGUUUGCGAUAUACAGCAAGCGGCCAAGCGAAAGCGUUAAGUAUUCCACCUGGGGAGUACGCCGGCAACGGUGAAACUCAAAGGAAUUGACGGGGGCCCGCACAAGCGGAGGAACAUGUGGUUUAAUUCGAUGAUACGCGAGGAACCUUACCCGGGCUUAAAUUGCAGAUGAAUUACGGUGAAAGCCGUAAGCCGCAAGGCAUCUGUGAAGGUGCUGCAUGGUUGUCGUCAGCUCGUGCCGUGAGGUGUCGGCUUAAGUGCCAUAACGAGCGCAACCCUUGUUGUCAGUUACUAACAGGUUCCGCUGAGGACUCUGACAAGACUGCCAUCGUAAGAUGUGAGGAAGGUGGGGAUGACGUCAAAUCAGCACGGCCCUUACGUCCGGGGCUACACACGUGUUACAAUGGGGGGUACAGAGGGCCGCUACCACGCGAGUGGAUGCCAAUCCCCAAAACCUCUCUCAGUUCGGACUGGAGUCUGCAACCCGACUCCACGAAGCUGGAUUCGCUAGUAAUCGCGCAUCAGCCACGGCGCGGUGAAUACGUUCCCGGGCCUUGUACACACCGCCCGUCAAGCCAUGGGAGCCGGGGGUACCUGAAGUGCGUAACCGCGAGGAGCGCCCUAGGGUAAAACUGGUGACUGGGGCUAAGU
rnacentral:rRNA from 1 species